rnacentral:rRNA from 1 species
CGUGAAGAAUGCAGUCGAGCGCUGAUUCAAGGGUAGCAAUAUUCUUGAGUCGGAGCGGCGCAAGGGUGCGUAACACGUGGGUAAUUUGCCAUAAAGUCUGGAAUAACUUGCUGAAAGGCGAGCUAAUGCCGGAUGUGAUUUUCGGGGAGCAUUUCCUGAAACUCAAAGCUGGGGAUUCGCAAGAACCUGGCGCUUUUUGAUAAGCCCGCGGCCUAUCAGCUAGUUGGUGAGGUAAUGGCUCACCAAGGCUAAGACGGGUAGCUGGUCUGAGAGGACGACCAGCCACACUGGAACUGAGACACGGUCCAGACACCUACGGGUGGCAGCAGUCGAGAAUUUUUCACAAUGGGCGAAAGCCUGAUGGAGCGACGCCGCGUGGGGGAUGAAUGGCUUCGGCCCGUAAACCCCUGUCAUUUGCGAACAAACCUUUUCAUUUAACAUGUGAAAAGCUGAUUGUAGCGGAAGAGGAAGGGACGGCUAACUCUGUGCCAGCAGCCGCGGUAAUACAGAGGUCCCAAGCGUUGUCCGGAUUCACUGGGCGUAAAGGGUGCGUAGGUGGUGAGGAAAGUCGGAUGUGAAAUCUCCGGGCUCAACCCGGAAAUGGCAUUGGAAACUACCUUGCUAGAGGAUUUGAGGGGGGAUUGGAAAUACUUGGUGUAGCAGUGAAAUGCGUAGAUAUCAAGUGGAAACACCAGUGGCGAAGGCGAAUCCCUGUAAAAUACCUGACACU